UACCCUUGACAUGGAUGGAAUCCCGGAGAGAUUUGGGAGUGCUCGAAAGAGAACCAUCACACAGGUGCUGCAUGGCUGUCGUCAGCUCGUGUCGUGAGAUGUUGGGUUAAGUCCCGCAACGAGCGCAACCCUUGUCAUUAGUUGCUACGCAAGAGCACUCUAAUGAGACUGCCGGUGACAAACCGGAGGAAGGUGGGGAUGACGUCAAGUCCUCAUGGCCCUUAUGGGUAGGGCUUCACACGUCAUACAAUGGUACAUACAGAGGGCCGCCAACCCGCGAGGGGGAGCUAAUCCCAGAAAGUGUAUCGUAGUCCGGAUUGUAGUCUGCAACUCGACUGCAUGAAGUUGGAAUCGCUAGUAAUCGCGGAUCAGCAUGUCGCGGUGAAUACGUUCCC
rnacentral:rRNA from 1 species